rnacentral:rRNA from 1 species
AUGGAUUGGUCAGCUCUCAACUGCUCCAUCGCCGUGCUGAUCAUUCUGUUCCUGCCGCUGUGUGCGUCCGACGACCAGCUUGUCUCCAGCAACCCGCUCUCCCCUGGCACCACCAUCGUCUCGGAUGGCGGUGACUUCGCAUUUGGCUUCUUCCCCUCUUCUGGCUCAACGCCGUCCAACCUGUACCUUGGCAUCUGGUACAACGGCAUCUCCGAGCUCACCGUGCUGUGGGUCGCCAACCGGGAAACCCCGGUCAGGAACACUACCUCCUCCACGCCCAUGCUCUCCCUCACCAACACCUCCAAUCUUGUUCUCUCUGAUGGUGAUGGCAGUCGUGUUGUUUGGACGACUGGCGUAGCCGCUGCCUCGAUCUACAAUUCAUCAGAGGCAGUUCUUCUGAAGACCGGUAACCUCAUCAUCCGGUCAUCCAACGGCACCACGGUUUGGCAGAGCUUCGACCACCCAACCGACACGUUCCUACCUGGCAUGAAGAUGCGGAUCAGGUACAGGACACGUGCGGGUGGACGCCUGGUAUCCUGGAAAGGCUCCGGAGACCCCUCACCAGGGAGCUUCUCCUACGGCUGCGACCCAGCCACCAUCAUCCAGAUGUUCCUCUGGAACGGGUCACGCCCGGUAUACCGCACCGCCCCAUGGACGGGGUACCAGGUCAAGAAUGAGUACCAAUACUUGAUGACCAACACCAGCGCCAUCAUGAUAUAUCUCAGUGUCGUCAAUAAUGACAAGGAAACCUACGCAAUAUUUAGCGUCUCGGACGCUAGCUGGCGCACCAGGCUUGUGCUGGCCUACUCCGGCGCGCUCCAGUUCCAGGGCUGGAACAACAGCUCCUCUGCGUGGGUAGUCUUUGGGCAGUGGCCACACCACGGAUGCAACCGCUACGGCUACUGUGACGAGACGGUGUUGCCCGUCCCGACGUGCAAGUGCCUCGAUGGUUUUGAGCCGACGAGCACAGAGGAGUGGAACAAGGGCAAGUUCUCAAAGGGGUGUCGACAGAAAGAGGCACUGCGUUGCGGCGAUGGUUUCUUGGCCUUGCCGGGCAUGAAACCACCGGACAAGUUCGUGUUUGUUGGAGACACGUUGUUGGAGGAAUGUGCGGCGGCAUGCCGCCGCAACUGCUCAUGCGUGGCGUACGCCUAUGCCAACCUGAGCAGUGGCAUGGCCAGCGGAGGUCUGCCAAGGUGCUUGUUGUGGGUCGGUGAGUUGGUUGACACCGGGAAGUUACACGCAGACCCCGUGAGUGACACACUCUAUCUGCGGCUUGCAGGCUUGGAUGCAGUAGCUUAA